rnacentral:lncRNA from 1 species
UUCUUCUUGAAAGCUUCUACAAGCUCUCUACCUUGGGUUGGUUCAAGCCUCAGACAACCAAGGUACAAAGUCUUGCCCUUCUCUGAGACGGAGCCAGAAAGUGUCUCCCUCAUACUUUCAUAGUAAACCUAUAGAAAUACUACAGGUUCCCUCUGAAGUCUGGAAUCCUUGGGUUUCCAUUAAGGAACUGGUAACUAGGUAAGCUAGGUAACUUUUUGAUUUUCAGUUUCUCCGUUUAAUCUAUAAAUUAAAAGGUG